GGCAAGAUGGCCGAGUUGGUCCAAGGCGUCAGGUUAAGGUCCACCUUAAUACCCAGCUUUACAGCUUCCUGAUCAUCGUAAGAUGGCGUGGGUUCGAAUCCCUCUCUUGUCA
rfam:Aspergillus niger DNA, contig: scaffold669_002, strain: An76, whole genome shotgun sequence.